GGCCACCCGGGCCGCGAGCCUGCCGCCGCCGUGAAGAAACGACGCCCGAGACCCCGCCGCUCGGCCCGAGGCUCUGCCCCGAGGAGGCCUCACCGCGUUCCUGAGCAGGCGCUGAGAAGACAGCCCGGCCUGGUGGCCAUCGCCGCGUCGCGGGCGCGGCGGAGUGUCCCGUAGACUUAAAGGACCCCGGAGCGGUGCACUUCCGCUUCCGGGGCGGGGCUAGGGCCGCGGAGGCGGAAGUGACUCGGCGGGGCUCGGAAGCAUGGGCUUUGGCGUUGCCUAGGGUUCACAGGGGCGAGCGAUAAGCAAGCAAUCCUUGCGUUGGCAUCACAGGCUCAGGCUUGCGUAUUCUGGCCAGGGCUUUCUCGCAGCUCCUAGAGACGGACCUCAGCCGUGCGUCAUGUGGCCCUCUGAAAGCAUGGAGCUUAUUGCUCCGAAGCCAACAGGAGAGCUGCUCCCAAUUCUGCUACUACUGCUGUUGCAGCUGCUUACAACAGCUAUUAUCGUUGCUAGAGUCUUAUAUUCAAUGUGACAUCAUAGGCGAAAUGAUUCUAUUAUGUUUGCUGUACUACAUAACCCAAUAAAAGGAGGAACAUCCCAUUAUA